CAAGAACAACUGCCACACGCCACCGUGGUCGGCGGUACGUGGAGCAAAGGCACAACUGCUCCGGUGGAAUUUUUCAAUUGAAAUCAGAUUUCCUAAGUUCUUAACAUGUUGGUUUUCCAUUAUGUAUGUGUAGAUUGUCUCCAAAUCAUCCCGUUUAAAAAGUUGAGUUUGUAAUCGGUUUCCGAUUUCUCGAUCAUUCUGAGUUUUCAUCUACUAGUUUUUCACAGAGGUUUUUUCUUUUAUGUGAUGUAGGUCUUGUAUCUGAUUUCUUGUUCAUCCAAUCACAAUACUGUACAUAUUUAAUAUCAAUGGAAUUGUUAUCAGGUUCCACCAUGUAGAUUGGAAAAGAGCACAUGAAGCUACUUCAGAAACAUCUUCUGUUCUUGUAGAUGGAUGAGCCACGUCAAAGGAGAAAUACGUAGGAGGAUGGUGCUCCGUUAUUAUUCCUGUUACAGAGCUGAUGAGUUCCCCACCGACAUCAGGAGGGUGCGACGAUGGAGGUUGUGGAGAGAUGUUAGGGGUGGUGAGGUUUUGAAGACCGAAUACAAAAAGAAGGGGAAGCUGGUGAAGAAAGAGCAUUUUGGUUCCAAUGAUCGACGGCGUAGCAGUGGAGAAGGCAAAGCAUGAAUUCGACGGUAUUUUAGGGGUUGUGUGUGUUUAGAGAGAGAGAGAGAGAGAAAGAGAGAGAGAGGUGGGUCUCAUAUUUUUUAUUAAUAAAACUUUAAAUUAAAUAGAAAUAAACAUAUAAAAUAUAUCAGAAGGGUAUUUUAGUCUUUUUAGUUUAGCGAAAUACCAAAAUCACAAGCAAACUACCUCAAAAGGACCAUCAGUUCAACAAAGUCAUGAUUUGGACUAAAACCCCAAAAAAAUGCAUACCACAGGGACCAUUUUUGCAAUUUUGUCGAUUGGUUAUAAUGAUUUAUGUUUUAUAAAUUUGUAUAAUAUAAUAUUUUAAUGCAUAAAUUAUUUUGUAUAGAGAAAAUUUGUUGUGUACGAAUAACUCUUUUUCUUUUAUUUAUUUUAUUUUUACAUUUUACCAAAUUGACUAACCUAUUAGUGUAUAUGUAUUAUUAUAUGUAGCCCAUUUGUAAUAGUUUAGCCCAUGUUGUUGUUGUAGCCCAAUACUUGUAUUUGUAUUUAUUCUUUUGAGUAAUGAAAAUCACGUAAGGGAAAAGACCAAUCUGUCAUGGUAUCAGAGACUAGUUCCCAGAAAACCUACUUUCCUUCUUCUCCAUCUUCCUCUCGAUCUUACUGUUUUCGGGCCUAAACCUAGCCGCCGACCAACCCACCCUCCAUCUUCUUCUCAAUCUUAACAAUGGUUGGUGAAACCUCCAAUCCCAAAAAUCAGAAAACCUAUGGUGCUCUCAAUAUCAAGACUUAUGUUCCUAUAAUUCUUGAUCUCAAUGAACUCAAUUAUAAUGCAUGGCGGGAAUUAUUUGAAACCCAUUGUCGUGGCUUUGGUGUUCGUGAUUUUCUCACAGGUGAUUCCAAACCCACUUCUGACAAAAGAUGAAGAAUGGUUCACUCUUGAUUCUGUGGUUAAAACGUGGCUCUAUGGCACCCUCACACAAUCCCUUCUCAACAUGAUUCUCACAAAGAACUCCACAUCCCAUACGGUUUGGCUAAGUCUUGAAAAUCUCUUCCGAGAUAACAAGGACGCCAGAGCAAUUGAACUUGACAGUGAACUAAGAAGCAUGACACUAGGCGAUCUUUCCAUUGCUCAAUAUUGCCAACGAAUGAAGUCCAUAUCAGAUCUCUUGGUGAAUAUUGACAACCCUAUACCCGAGAAAACACUCGUUGCUCAUCUUCUCAAUGGUCUCUCUCCUCAAUAUGAACACAUUGCCACCCUCCUACGCCACCGAGAUCCUCUACCCACUUUUCUUCAAGCUCGCUCAAAACUUUUGGUUGAAGAACAAAUGUUCAAGAAUUCUCGCCCUCCUCAAGCAUCCCACUCGGACUACCCAUCAUCCUCAUAUGUUCUACUUGCUGGUAACAACAACCGCAACAGCUCCACCUCAUCCAGUGGAAAUCGCCGCCCCAACCAGCAGCGACGCCAUGGCAGCCACAACACCGAGCAGCAGCAACGCCGCCAGCCUCCUGUUGCGUCUUCUGCAAGUCAUCAGUCACAACAGCUGCCUUGGCAUAUUUAUUCUUUUGAGUAAUGAAAAUCACGUAAGGGAAAAAGACCAAUCUAUCAUAACCUUCUCCCUUCAAAUGGCAUGUCAUGCAUCUCUUGUAUAAAAAUGACGUGUCACUGAUGUGGUUGCCAAAAAACUAAUUUGGCAUUUGUGACAUGCUAUGCACCACUUCAUUCGCCCUGAAGGGAAAUGAAAUGUCUCUGUAGGUUUUUUUUUUAAAAAAAAUAAAGGAAUCAGAGAAAAGAAAAUAUGAAAUUAGUGUUGUUUUUUAAUUAUGAGUAAGGAAAUGAGAAGGAAAUAAAUAAUAUAUAUGUGUGUGUGUGUUUUGGAAACUAUCCGUCUAAAUAUAGUCUAAAUGAGAUGGAUUCUUACUUUUCCAUUCCAUUCUUUUUCCUUUUUUUUUUUCCAUUUCUUCUGUUCCAUUGCUUUUUCUUCACUUGUUUUUUAAAUUGAAAACAAAAAGUAAACGUUCUCAUACAAAAAAAACAUCUUUUUGUAUUUUGCAAAUUAAUUAUUGAAAUUCUUUCAUAUAAUUGUCUAACCUUUUAAAUUAUGUAAUAUGAUGAUUGUCAAAGAUACAUAAACAUCAAGGCGUACAAAGGUGCAUCCCAAUAGAGUCGGCAAGGUAAAGGGUUGACCCUUAUUGGGUAGAGAGUUAUCUCAUGAACAAAAAAUAGGAUCACAGGCUUCACCUAGAUACAUUUUUAGGUCUGAAAUCUCUAUAUGUGUAGAUAACAUGUGUUUGUGAGUCCUAGCGACAUGUUCUUGAAUAACUCUCAUUUCUUUCAAAUGAAGGGGAAAAAAAUAUAAAAAUGUUGAUUUAUUUCCCUCUCUUUUCAACUUAAGAACACAAUAUUAUUUCUAUUUCCCUUUAACUCAAGAACACAACAAAAAUACAUGUAUUUUUUUCCCGUCCAUUACUCUUCUUUCCAUUCAUUUUUAACUCAAAAUAAAGCAUGACAAUAUUAUCAAUAAGCUAUUCCUAAUUUGGUCGUGCACAUAACAUAAUUAUAAUUAAUGAUCAUGUGAACAACAUAAAUUUUUAUGUUUUUUUUUCUCAUACUCUAAAUGUAUGCAUGUUGUGUAGUUUGUUUUUUGUUUUUGUUAAUCACUACCUUAUCAUAAUGAAAUGAUAGCUUAGCUUCUAGUUUAGAAUACACUUUAUAUUUCUAAGAAGAUAACAAAUAGAUUUUUUCUAGAAAGUGUCCUUUCAAAUAAUUGUCCAUUAAGUUUUUUGAUUUUGCAAUAUUUAGGAAGCCAUCAUGUGUUUAUAGAACUCUUUAAUUAAUUUGUAUGGUAAUUUGAGUUCUUAUAAGCACCCGUCGUACAACUUCUAUUUAAAGCAAUAAAACUAUUCUAUUGAGGUCCAUUUUAGCCUCUUUAAUUUGAUUGUGAGUUUGGUUCGAGUUUAGCUUACUUUUUUUUUCAUUGAUCAACAUGAUAAACAAGGGUUUUAAAAUACAUAAUGCUAACAACAAUGAGACAACUAUUGAAUAAUUGAUAGUAUUUUGAAGAAUAAUAUUUUGUUAUGGGUCAUACAAUUUGUCACUUUUUUUGUGGUUUGGGUACCCAAAGAAAUUAAAAACGUAAGAAUGAUCGAUUAUGUCAACAUCAGAAUUUAUAUUUUUUAGGUUUCAAAAAAACUAUAUAUGAGAUAAGCUCUUUAUUCAUCAUCUUGCAUAACCAUACAUGUAAAUCUCUUUUAGUAUCUAUAUGCUUAACGAAAUUGAAGCAAUAUUUUUAGUUUUAAAACUUAGAGGGUAUAAAUGCUUAAGUCUAAAAGUUGUUCAUGCUUAACGAAAUCCAAAACUACCAUUUUGAAAUGAUGUCCACGGAUGUUUAAGACGAAAUAUGGAAGCUUAAGGACUCAAACUGUUAAAUACGUGAAAUAUAGGGACGUCCAAGAUCGGUAUCUUUUUCUUUGCUGAAGCUUGAAGGUGAAAUUCUGUCAGUAAUCUAAACCUUAGGAUCUCACGUAUGACGUGGCAAUACAUGAUUGGAUGACCCGCGUCAUCAGGCCUCCCACUGAAGCAACAAAACGUAAGGGCGGUUCGGUCGAAACGCAAAAAUGGCGAAUUUGAGUCUGACCUCUGCAAUGAAGGGAUGCUCUGUGUUGCUUCUGCUAAUUGCCGCCACACUUGGUGAGUUUCAGUGAAGACUAAUGAAAGCUGUUUCGAAAUGGUUUAGUUCAUUAUUUAUCAUAUUUUAAAUCACUUGUUAUGGUUCGAUUGUGGAAAUCGAAUGACGAGUUGAUCUUCUUCGUAAUAUCUCACAGUUUCGGCAAAGAAGUCCGGUGAUGUCACGGAGUUACAGAUCGGCGUCAAGGUAAAAUUCCGGUAGCUCAGUCUUAUUAUUAUCACCUAUAAUCCCUUGAUCCGGCUUAAGUGUGUGAGAUAACAAUUGUGCAUUAUUUAAUUUAUUUACAAGGAGUUAUGAUUGCACUGCGAAUUAUCCACUUCUGUUUCCCGAUCGUAGUUUAGUCUGCUUAUUAUGUAAAAAUUGGUAGGAUCUGUGUUUUAGUUCAUUCUAUUGCUUUCUCUUCUCUUUGUGGUAGAAAAAGAAAAAGAAAUGCUUAAGAUAUCUUCACGGAAUUGUAGUGAGGUUUUGAGUUGAUCUGCUGUUAGUAUAGUAGCUAAAGAUGUCUUAGCUUUCCCAAUUAGGAGGUGUCUUAUGUGCAAUGCAUUUGAUCUGAUAAUUGGUUACACAGUGAAAGCAUGUAUAUAGAGAGAGUAAUGUAGUUAGCUUAUUGAAUUUGAUUUUCACUUUCAUGUUGAUACUUUCCAUUUCUUAUUCUUUCUUGAUGUUUAAUGAUUUUAAAGAGCUAAAAUCAGCUGUGCUGACCAUCAUUUACAUGAACAGUAUCGACCACCCACCCUGAACCUCCAUUUUUGUUGUUGUUGUUGUUGUUGUUGCAGUUCAAACCAGCAUCUUGUGAAAUCCAAGCACACAAAGGUGAUAGGGUGAAAGUUCAUUAUCGGGUGAGUUAGUUGAUACAUCUACAUAGCUAUUUCCUUUCUUUCUCCAUCCCAUCCCAUCCCAUCCCAUCCCCCCUCUUCUCUGAGUUAUUAUCUCAGUUUUCUGUAUCACUUAAUGAAUGAUUGUAUUUGUAUGUAUAUCUUUGAACAUUCUUUAAGCUCUGGUUUUGCAGGGGAAACUUACUGAUGGAACUGUUUUCGAUUCCAGCUUUGAAAGGGGUGACCCAAUUGAAUUCGAACUUGGUACUGGUCAGGUGAUAAAAGGUAUAAAACCAUAUGAUAUGACCCAAUUUGAUUGUUGUGAAAUUCAAUUCUUAUAGUAUAUAUUAUGGAAGUUAACAAAAAUAGUGUAUUCCAGGAUGGGAUCAGGGACUAUUGGGAAUGUGUGUUGGGGAGAAGCGUAAGUUGAAGAUACCUUCAAAGCUGGGUUAUGGAGACCAGGGUUCACCACCUACUAUCCCAGGUACGUAAUGAGCAUAUUUAUAUUUAUUUUAUAGGGAAAAUGUGUUUUAAUUUAAUGGGGAAAGAUAUUAAUAAAUUGAAGAAAUUAAUUUUUGAUACACAGGUGGGGCUACACUUAUAUUUGAUACGGAGCUUAUUGCUGUCAAUGAUAAAGGAUCAGAUGGAGGAGACACCAAUAACAACAGUGAGCUAUGAGUAUGAUCACAAGAAUCCAGAUCAUGACCUUUUAGUAGGAGGAGAGAAUUCUAGAUUUGAUACUUUAAUUUUGUUCCCUAGUAUCUUCAAAAACAAAACAUACAUGUCUUGUACAAGUAUUUGGGAGUUGGGACACCAUUUUAACUCCUUGUUUCACUUAGGUUGAAGUGACGAGGUUAGAGAACUUAAUAUUGAUAUUUUAAAGCAAUUCAGAAAACUAAACAAAAAGAUGAAAACUAUCACCAUUUUGAUCUUCUUCUCAAACCAAAUAAGUAUUAAUGCAUUCCAAAAACCAAAAUGCUAGUUUACAACUUUUUAUCAAUGUAUUGUAUCGUGAAUACCUACCACAUCAUGUAAUUGUCUUUUUUUUUUUAGUUGCAUAUGAAUUUUUGAUAAGCAUCAUAUUCAAGUGGGUCCAUACCCCACUUGGGCUACGUAGGGCGUGUUUGGCAAAAGUAGUUCUUAGCUGGAAGCGGGUAGCGGUUAGUUGGUAGUGUGUAGCUGGUAGCUGGUAACGGGAAACUGUAGCUUUUAUUUGUUAUAUGAAUGUUUGGUAAAAGUAGCUGGAAGCUUUUGAAAUAUAUAAAAUUACAUAAAAGGACAAUUGACUAAAAAUAAAAAAAUAUAUAAAUAUAUUUUUACGGGUAAUUAUGGAAAUUGAUUUCAAAAGCUCCGGAGCGUUUUGUUAAAAGCUACAUGAAGUAGCUUUUAGAAUCAGAAUCGGAGCGUUUUGUUAAAACUAAGAGCUAAAUGCUCGUACUGCCAAACGAAGCUUUUUGUUUAAACUAGAGCGUUUUGUCAAAAGCUAAAAGCUAGAAGCUCCCAAACGCUUCCAAAAGCUUCGUGCCAAACACGCCCAUAGUGUCGUUAAAUUCUGAACAUACUUUGUGAUAUGCUAUUUUUUUUUAAUGAUUGAUAGAUCAAUUUGGUACUAUAUCUAAAUAAACCAAAUUGCUAGUUUAGUUCUCUUUGUAAUUUUCUUGUUUUAGAUUGUAUUAUUCUAUUUUAAUUUUUGCAGCAAGAUACAUACUAUCAAAUAUGUUAGGGGAAGAUUUGUUAGAACUAACCAAGGGCAUUUUAGUAAUUUAGUUUGAUUUUUGUUAGUUAGGUCGUUAGCAACAGUUAAUUUGUUAAGCUUCUUUCCUUCUUGUAUAUAUGAUGAGUCAUUAUGUCAAUUGAUCAAUUAAUGAAUACAGAUCAUUUUGCAACUCAUUCUAUUCUUUCAAUUCAAUCUUGAUAACAUGGUAUUAGAGCUACAUGAUCCGAUUCUUCAUCUUUUGAUUCAAUUUUUCAUAUACUCUAUUUUUUUUGUUUGUUUCUUCAAUGGCUGGAUCACAAUCUAAUUCUUCUAGUUCAUCUAAUUUGUCCAUUGAUCAUUCAAGCCCUUACUUCAUAGGAUCAUCUGAUAACCCCAAUUUCUUACUUGUUACUACUCCAUUCGAUGGAAAUGGAUUCAACUCAUGGAAACGAUCCAUAAUCAUUUCUUUAUCCGCAAAGAACAAAUUGGGGUUCGUUGAUGGAACUAUUUCAAAACCUCUCACUUCUUCACCUAAUUAUCCUAAUUGGUACAGAGCUAAUUCCAUGGUAAUUAUUUGGCUUCUCAACUCGUUGUCCAAAAAUAUUGCUGAAAGCGUUCUAUUCUUACAAACUGCAUAUGAGAUCUGGAAUGAACUCAAUCAACGUUACGAACAAUCAAAUGGAGCUCUUCUUUAUCAAAUUCAGCAACAAAUUUUUUCGUUGUCUCAAGGAUCUGAAAAUUUUUCAUCAUACUUUACCAAAUUGACAAAGGUUUGGGAUGAGCUUCGCAUCGUUCAAAAAUUUCCUCCAUGCUCCUGUGAAUCUGCUGCUGCUAUUCCCAAAUUCCUUGAAGAACAGCGUCUAAUACAACUAUUGAUGGGUUUGAAUGAUAGUUACAAGAUACUUCGUGGCCAAAUACUGAUGAUGAAACCUCUUCCUAGCGUCUCAACUGCGUACUCUUUGAUCAUUCAAGAAGAACAACAAAGAGGUAUAACUAAUAAUUCUCAGAUUAACCUUGAUUCUAUAGCCAUGCAUGCUUUAUCUGAUGUUCAAAUCAACAAGAAGCAAUUGAUUUGUAAUCAUUGCAAGAAGUCUGGCCAUACAAAGUCUCAAUGUUACAGGAUAAUCGGUUUUCCUUCCAAUUUUAAGUUCACAAAAGGCAAGAAAGAAGAACCUAAAUCUAUGGCUCAGAAUGUUGCUACUAAAUAAGAUAUUGGUAUUACUGAAGAGCAAUACAACCAUCUUCUUCAACUAUUCAAUGCUAGCAACAUUGCAUCUUCCUCUAUGAGUCAAGCAAAUACCUCUAUGAAACUUGAUGCUAUGGAAAAGGAAGGUAAAUCGUUUUCUUUUAAACAUUUUGCAGCAAAUGUUUACAAGUCAUCAAAUCUUUUACAACCUUAUUUAUCAUGGAUUGUUGAUACCGGAGCCACUGAUCACAUGUGUUCUAAUAAAGAACUUUUCUCUACUUUUCAUAAGUUACAUCAACCUCACAUGAUUGGAUUGCCUGAUGGACAUGAUGCAUCUCUUGAAUUUUAUGGUGAUGUUACAAUACAUGAUUCCAUUUUCCUUCACAAAGUAUUAUAUGUUCCAAGAUUCAAAUACAAUCUUGUAUCUGUUUCUCAACUUGCAUCUUAACUUCAAACCUUCUUCAUGUUCACUGAUAGAUAUUGUUUGAUGCAGGACCCUUUGAUGAAGAGUAAAAUUGCACUUGGAAUCUCAGGGAAUCGCAUCAAUGAUCUAUAUGUUUUUCAUCAUCAUUCUCUUAAGUCUAGUUUGUCUUUCAGUUUCUCUAUAUUCAAACAAUCUUUUUGUUCAAAUAAGUGUAAUUCCAAUUAUGAUGUAAUACUUUGGCACAAUCGUUUUGGUCAUACUUCAAUUGAAACUUUAAAGAAUCUUUCUCUCGUUCAUUCUGAUUAUCAUAAUGAUUCCCCUUGUUUAAUCUGUUCCAAGGCCAAAUAAUCUCGUUUGCCUUUUCCUUUAAGCCAUUCCAAAUCCAAGGGCAUUUUUGACUUAGUUCAUGUUGAUCUAUGGGGUCCUUAUAAACAUCCUUCUCAUGAUGGACAUAAAUUGUUCUUAACAAUUUUGGAUGAUUACAGUAGAAAUAAUUGGAUACAUCUUCUUAACAAUAAGAGUUAUGCCUUAACUCUUAUCAAGGAUUUUGUCAAGUUUGUCCAAACUCAAUUUUCAAAGAAAAUAAAAGUGAUCAGGUAUGAUAAUGCCUAUGAGUUGGGAAGUAGUAAUGAAGGCAUAGAAUUCUAUUCUUCUCAAGGAAUCAUUCAUCAAAAAUCAACUUCUUAUACUCCACAACAUAAUGGAAUUGUGGAAAGAAAGCAUAAACACAUUCUUGAGAUUGCACAAGCAUUAUAUUUUCAAGCAGGCUUAAGCACAAAGUAUUGGGGGGAAUGUGUGAAAACAGUUGUUUAUCUUAUAAACAGAAUGCCAACUAAAGUUCUUGAUUUGAAGUAUCCUUUUGAAAUAUUACAUGGAAUGAAACCAGAUCUUAAUCAUUUAAGAUCCUUUGGUUGUUUAUGUUUUGUUGCCACUUCUGAAGUAGGAAGGGACAAGUUCAUGCCCCGAUCUCAAGCUUGUAUUUUUAUUGGAUACCCUUCUUCUCAAAAGGCUUACAAAGUGAUGAAUAUUGAAAGUAAACAAAAUUUUGUUACUAGGGAUAUUAAGUUCUUUGAGCAUAUAUUCCCUUUACAUUCACUCCAUUCCCCGCAACCAUCAACUUCAUCACCUACAUAUAUGCCUAAUGCUUGUGUUGAAGACCCAACUGUCUUAACAGAAACAAUUACCACUCCUGUCAUUAUUGAGUCUUCUUUUGAAGUUGAUGAAGUUUUACAUGCCCCAAACCAUAAUGCACAAGCACAAAAUCCAGCUCAUAAUAACAGACCUGUCAGAACAACGCAUCCUCUAUCUUAUCUCAAGGAUUUCAUUUGUAAUCUUGCUUCAUCUGAUACUAGUGAUUGUUCUCAUACUAUCACUAAUCUUUGUAUCCUUCAGAAUACAUCAAAUUAUUCUAUUCCAUCAAAUGACUGUUUUACCCUUGCAUUCAAUGCAACUUCUUAUGAGACUGAGCCUGUGUUUUACAAUCAAGCAAAAGGAAAUCCUAAUUGGGAGGAUGCUAUGCAAAAGGAAUUAACAGCAUUACCUCAUAAUAAUACUUGGACUAUUGUUAAACUUCCUAAGGGUAAAUGUCCUAUAUCCUGCAAAUGGGUUUACAAGCUUAAGUACAAGGCUGAUGGCACUAUAGAACGAUACAAGGCACGAUUAGUUGCUAAAGGUUUUACACAAAAGGAAGGGAUAGAUUAUCAUGAGACAUUUUCUCCUGUUGUGAAGUUUACCACUAUCAGGUGUCUUAUUUCUGUUGUUGUCAAAAGAGGGUGGCCAAUACAACAAUUUGAUGUGAACAAUGUUUUCCUUCACGGAGAGCUUCAUGAAGAGGUUUACAUGAAGAUUCCUCCUGGUUUAGACGUUGGCUAUUCUACAUUAGUUUGCAAGUGAAACAAGUCUCUUUAUGGCUUGAAACAAGCUUUGCGUCAGUGGUAUGCCAAACUCUCUUCUGCCUUAUAUACUAAAGGGUAUAAACACUCUCAAAAUGAUCAUUCACUUUUCCUCAAGCAUACUAAUGAUCUCAUUAUAAUUGUUGCUGUCUACGUUGAUGAUAUUAUAAUCACUGGCAAUGAUUCAGAAGAAAUUGCAGCCCUUAAGAAGUUUUUAGAUGAUACUUUUAAGAUAAAAGAUCUUGGCAACAUUGGUUAUUUUCUUGGCUUAGAAUUUAAUCACAUUUCUUCUGGUAUAGUUGUUCACCAACAAAAGUUUAUUAAAGAACUUCUUGCUUUAUAUUCCAUGAGUGAUUGUGUUCCUGCUGCCACACCAUUGCCUUCAAAGUUUAAUGGACAUUCUCAUAAAGAAUAAUUACUAGAAGAUGUUGCACAAUAUAGACAACUUGUGGGAAAGCUUAAUUACCUUUUACAUACAAGGCCAGAUUUAUUUUUCACAGUUCAGUAUCUCAGUCAGUUUAAUCAAAAACCUGCCCAAAGUCACUUUCAAGUUGUUUUACAUGUUCUAUAAUAUCUCAAAGGAACUAUUCAUCAAGGAUUAUAUUUCAAUAACAAGCCAACAUUCAAUAUUGAGGCAUAUUGUGACUCUGAUUGGGCUUCCUGUCCAACAACUCGUAGAUCAGUUAGUGGUUUCUUUGUUCUUUUUGGAGGUACUCCUAUUUCUUGGAAGUCAAAGAAGCAGGUUACCAUUUCUUUGUCAUCAGCUGAAGCAGAGUACAGAUCAAUGAGGCGCGUAUGUGCUGAAUUAGCAUGGUUAACAAGACUUUUUCAUGAUCUACAAGUUCCUAAUCUUCAACCAGUUCCUUUGAAGUGUGACAGCUUGGCUGUUAUAUAAAAUCACUUAAUAUUUGGUGUCGUAUUUUAUGGCUAUCUUGAAUUAGAAAAAGUUGAACUUCAAAUGCCAUGUUUGAUUUCUUCAUUGGCAUGCUCAAUAUUACCAAUGUAAUGAAAUCUUAAAAGAGAUUGACGACGUAAAGCCAUAUUAAAAAUGGAUGAAUAUGAUGCUAUUCAUGAAAGUCGGUCUAGAGGUGUCAUCAAAGGUACAGUUGUAUAUAGAGACUCCUAUCUGAUUGAAAAAAUGUAAUAUGAAAACAUGUAAUCAAUUGCGAUUUAUAAGGCCUUAUAUAUAACAUAGCUAAAGUAAAAUUGCAUUCAAUAUAACAGAACAAAUAUGGGUAAUCAAUUUCAACUACUAUUUUUUCUCUAGAGCAACAGUAACAGAAGUAAGUUAACACUAAUGGUCAAAUUUAAGAAGUAAAAGAUUAUGUUUGGUUGUUUGAGAUAACUAGAGAUAUCGUAGGGUUUGGAAAGACUGUGACAACAACAAAGCCAAGAUUGCAUCGUGUAUUGAUUAGUUCGACACUUAAUAAUGAAUUGCAUAGUGUAUAUGAGAACCGUUUGGGAAAGUAGGAUCCAUAAAGGUAUAAUAACAUCCGCAUAACAUCUAAAGUUUAUCUGACAUGCUUUUCAUAGAUCUCUCAAGACAUGAUAGAGAUGGGGGGUAAUGAAGCUUCAAUGAAUUGACAAUGGAAACAUGAAGCGGGUAGAAGGAGUUUGUGCAUUGGAAUAAGUUGACCCGCUCGAAUGACCCGAAAGGGGGUUGCAUUCUCAUGGGGACCCGAGCAGCAGACCNUGACAAUGGAAACAUGAAGCGGGUAGAAGGAGUUUGUGCAUUGGAAUAAGUUGACCCGCUCGAAUGACCCGAAAGGGGGUUGCAUUCUCAUGGGGACCCGAGCAGCAGACCUCCUUUGAGACACUUCGCCAAAGGUUGUGCGAAGCUCCGGUAUUAGCUCUCCCGGAAGGGAUGAAGGAUUUUGUAGUAUAUUGCGAUGCAUCGAUUUCGGGGCUGGGUGCAGUGUUGAUGCAGAGGGGUCAUGUGAUAGCUUAUGCGUCGAGGCAGCUGAAGCCUCAUGAGGCGAGAUAUCCCACGCAUGAUUUAGAGUUGGGGGCAGUAGUGUUCGCUCUCAAGAUUUGGCGUCACUACUUGUAUGGGGUUCGAUGUACGAUAUACACGGACCAUAAGAGCUUGAAGUAUUUGAUGGAUCAGCCCAACCUAAAUAUGCGUCAGAGGAGGUGGUUGGAUGUGGUCAAGGAUUAUGAUUGUGAGAUCCUGUACCACCCAGGCAAGGCUAAUGUGGUAGCCGAUGCAUUGAGCCGCAGGGCGGAGAGCACUCCACUGCGAGAUGUAUGUUUGAGAUUGACUGUAAUAGCUCCAGUAUUGGAUGCUAUUCGUGGGGCACAGGCCGAGGCUGUGCGACCAGAGAUGCAGAAGAGAGAGCGGGUCGUUGGUUUGGUUUCAGAGUUCGUUACGGAUGGACGAGGGCUUAUGACGUUUCAGGGUCGGAUUUGGGUACCGUUCGUGGGUGGUACGCGUAUUACUUUGAUGGAAGAGGCUCAUCGAUCGAAAUUCUCGAUCCAUCCCGGGGCUACGAAGAUGUAUUUGGAUUUGAGGAAAGAGUAUUGGUGGCCCUGUAUGAAGAGGGACGUCGCAUGGUUCGUUGAGAGGUGCUUGACCUGCCGUAGGGUUAAGGCCGAGCACCAGAGACCGCAUGGCAAGUUGCAGCCAUUGGAGGUUCCCGAAUGGAAGUGGGAACAGAUCACUAUGGAUUUCAUCACCAAAUUGCCGAGAACUGCCAGAGGAGUUGAUGCAAUUUGGGUGAUUGUGGAUAGGUUGACGAAGAGCGCUCACUUCCUUGCCAUCAGUGAGAGUUCUUCAGCGGAGAAGUUGGCGGAGAUAUAUGUGAGAGAAGUGGUAUCUCGGCAUGGGGUGCCGAUCUCGAUUGUUUCAGACCGUGAUGUGCGCUUCACUUCCAGAUUCUGGAAGAAAUUCCAUGAGGAGCUGGGUACUAAAUUGCAUUUUAGUACCGCAUACCAUCCCCAGACAGACGGCCAGAGCGAGCGGACGAUUCAGACGCUGGAGGACAUGCUUCGAGCGUGUGUGUUAGAUUUCGGGGGUAGCUGGGAUGCGUAUUUACCCUUGGCAGAGUUUUCCUACAACAACAGCCAUCAUUCGAGCAUUGGUAUGCCACCCUUUGAGCUGUUGUAUGGUAGGAGGUGUCGGACCCCCAUUUGCUGGGGAGAGGUUGGGCAGAGAGUGAUGGGCAGUACAGAGAUCGUGCUUCAGACGACAGAGCAGAUUCAGCAGGUCAGACAGAGGUUAUUGACCGCCCAGAGCCGACAGAAGAGUUAUGCAGACAGACGCCGGUCCGAGCUUGAGUUUCAGGUCGGCGACUUCGUUCUCCUGAAGGUCUCUCCUUGGAAAGGAGUGAUUCGAUUCAGGAAGAGGGGCAAGUUGGGGCCCCGGUAUAUUGGGCCAUUUCGUGUGAUUGCAAGGGUAGGCCGGGUAGCCUAUCGUUUGGAAUUGCCAGCAGAGUUGGGGCAAAUCCACGACACUUUUCAUGUGUCGCAAUUGAGGAAGUGUAUAGCCGAUGAGUCGGCAGUGGUUCCAUUAGAGGAUAUUCAGGUGGAUGCGAGCCUGAAUUAUGCCGAGAGACCAGUGGCCAUCAGGGAUCGGAAAAUCAAGGUUCUGAGGAACAAGGAGGUACCUCUGGUGUUGGUUCAGUGGCAACACCGGAAGGGAUCGGAAAUGACUUGGGAGCCGGAGCGUGAGAUGCGGGAGCAGCAUCCGGAGCUAUUUUCAGAGUGAGACUUCGAGGGCGAAGUCUAGUCCUAGUGGGGGAGAGUUGUAACAGCCCGGAAUUUCAGGUAUUGUUAUAUUUAUGAUUUUGGGUGUUUUAAGAGGGGACUCGGCGAGUUGGAGCUCAGACUCGCCGAGUAGGAUCGCGGAUCUGGUCGCGGGUUCGCGACUGGACUCGACGAGUCCGGAUAUGGACUCGGCGAGUCUGCGCUGUUUAGCGAAAACCCUAACCGUUCAGGUUUGGGACGUAUAUGAGGGACUUUAUGGCCGUCAUUGUUCACCCUAGUCCUCUGAGAGAAACCCUAAUUCGAUUGUGAGCAUCUGGAGCAAGGUAGAAGACCAUUGUUGAUUUUGGAAGUGUUGUUUUGCAAGGAAGAGGAGGCUUGGUUAAGGGAACAACAAGGGAAGCCACGUUCUGAGGAUUGGGGACACAGAGAGCACGUUAUUCAGGUAAUAUUUCGAGUUGCAUCCUUCUAUGUUGAUGUGUAUAUGGAUUUAGGGUUUAUUGAACCCUUUUGUGGCUAGAUUGAGUGUUACCUUAGUCCCCCAAACGAUUGGAACCCUGUAUUGGGAUCUUUGGAAGUCCAGAAUGUCCCAUGCCUGAGCAUUUCGGGAAUCAAUGGAGGUUUUGGAUUGGAAUCCUUAUGCCUUAGGUCAAAAUGUAAAUUAUGAGUCAUGGGGUGUAUUAUGAGCACCGAAAUGAGGACCUUACGUGAUGAAUCAGUCUAGGAAGGCCAGACCUAUGAAUGGUCGGAGCAGUUCUGACCUUAGAAAGCAGUUUGAGCGGUUGCAUGGCAUGGACUCGCCGAGUCCGAUGAACAGACUCGGCGAGUAGCUUGAAGAUUAACUGGGACUCGUCGAGUUGUUCUUCAGACUCGGCGAGUUGAGUCGGGGUGGCCCCGCGAUUCUUCCAGGAGAAACUCGUCGAGUCAAGGAGGAUACUCGACGAGUAGAAAGGGAAUCUUAGAGAAUUGGUGAGGACGUCUAGACUCGCCGAGUCGCCCUAGCACUCGCCGAGUCCGGUCAAGUUGACCGUUGACCGUUGACCAGAGUUGACCUAUGUUUGACCUCUUAGGGAUAGUCAAACUUAGAAGAUAAAAGUGUUAAUAAGAGAUGUAUGAUGUUAUAGGGAGAUUGUAGCUCGGCGGAUCGAGUACGAGUGACUUCGGGAUUUGCUAGCUUUCGACAUUCACGAGGUGAGUCUUCUCACUAUACUGUACCCGGAAGGGUUUGACUGUGUGACCGGAAGGUCGGAUAUGAUAUGUGAUAUAUGUGCUAUAUGUGAUAAGUUAAUUGUUAUACGUGCUAUGUAUGUUAUGUGGGCCGGAAGGCAUUAUGUUAUGGGCCGGAAGGCGAUUAUGUUAUGGGCCGGAAGGCGUUGUGUUGUGGACCGGAAGGUCGGCGUGGGUAGGACCGGAAGGUUUACCCAGCAGGGACGGAAGUCCCCUGAGACACAUGGACCGGAAGGUCAGGGCCUGGAAAGGCGUAUGUGCGUAAGUUGUAUAUUGGGGAACUCACUAAGCAUUUAUGCUUACAGUUGUUAUGUAUGUGUUUCAGGUACUAGCGAGGACCGUGGGAAGGCGCCGGCGUGAUCUGUACACACUGAUAGAUGUUUUGUGAUCUUGGGAUUCAGAUGAUUUGUAUUUUGACAUGACACUUGAAAUGUUUAUGCCUUGUUUUGAAUGAAAAUAACUUAUUUUGAAAUGAAAAAUUUGUUUGAAAAUUUACGGUGUUACAGUUUAGUAGCACAUGAAAAACAAUCAAAUUUCAUAAAUGUACAUCGCUAAUGUCACAGUUUUUCCACAAUGGAGUUUGGUCAAAGACUAUUUAAAUGUGCGUAGGAAACAAGCACAUUUGAUAACACCUCACUAAUCCCAUACAUUGCUUGCGAUAGUAUGUGGUUGAAACUAGCUUUAUACAACAUUUAUUAAAGAUCAAUACAUUCAUUUAUGUAAACAUAUGUACAUGUUUAUACCAUUUUGCUUACAUGGCUAUACAAUCAAGUUUAAAUAGAUGAGGGUUUGUUAUGUAUAACUUACUUAAUUGUUCGAUAUCCUCAUCAUUUGUCGUAAGAUACAAAAUCAUGAGGUUGAUACAAAAAUAGUGAAAUCUAAAGGUGUUACUGUAACAAUCAUAAAAUUUACGCCAAUUUAAAACAUUUUAAUCCAUUCAAAGACCAUUAAGUUAUUACAACUUGUUUUCAAAAUAGUUUAAACAUCCGAGUAUCCUUAUAACCAAAUCACAAAAUCAUGAAAUAUGAGAAGCGGUACGAUCACGCCUUUGCCUUGCCACGAUCUCUUGAUGUACCUGAAACUGUAAGCCCGAAAGCUUAGUGAGUUCCCCCAAAAUACCCAUACACACAUAAGCAUACACAUACAACAAUGAACAACAUAUUAUGGGUCCAAUCAACCGUCGGGUUGGAAUACCCCAAGCCUCAACCAUCGGGUUGGAAUGCCAACGUACUACGAGUCCAAUCAUCCGCGGGAUGGAAUACUCUCGACCCACAACCAUCGGGUUGGAAUGCCUACACACCUAUACAUAUAAUAACUACUAUGGGUCCAAUCAUCCCUCGGGAUGGAAUACCCUAGGCCCUCAACCAUCGGGUUGGAAUGCCCACCUACUAUGAGUCCAAUCAUCCUACCGGGAUGGAAUACUCCUGGCCCAUAACCAUCAGGUUGGAAUGCCCACCUACUAUGAGUCCUAUCAUCGUACCGAGAUGGAAUACUCUCGGCCCACAACCAUCGGGUUGGAAUGCCCACAUACUAGCAAACAUGUGCACUUAUUAAAUAAUCACAUAACAUUCUACAAAAACGACAUAACAAGGCCCUAUCAUCCUACCGGGAUGGAAUACUCUCUACUACUGCUCAAACAUGUGCACAUAUUGUUGGAUUAGUGUCUAAGUCCAUAACUAUUUUGGUAUGUACUUGACCCGAUUAUGAGCAUGGUCCUUUUGGGUUGCCUUCACCAUAGCAAUAUGUAGGAUGAUUUAAGGAGAGAAAGGUUUAAAUAUGAUUUAUUAAUAUAUUAUGAGAAUAAUAUAUUAAAGGAGAAAUCAUAUUGUUUAAUUAAUAUUAGUCAAUAAUUAAUUGUUAAUUAAUUUUGUGGCUAAAAGAGAUUAAUUAAACUUAGGGGACUGAAGUUGUAAUUAUAAGAUAAUUAUAAUUGGGCUAAGGAUCACCUAAUAAUAUAUAGGUUGGACGAAUUCUAUGGGUAGCCCAUUAGAAAUCGUCCAAGGGAUAUGUUUAAGGAGUCCAUGGGCUGCUUAGGGCCUAAGCAGUCAAAUUAGGGUUUCCUAGUUGUAAACCCUAAUAGCCUACAUGUAUAUAAAGGGCCCCUAUGCCCCAAAAACGUGGACAAGUCUUCCAUUAGGGUUUCCAGCCGUUUUUGGGCAGCCUCUAUUCUUCUCCUCUUCAUCCAAGUUGUAUAUGGUGUUUGUGACUCCAUUAGAGGUGCAGCACUUGAGGCACUAAGCUUUCUAAGGCCAAUCCAAGUAAGGAAUUGAUUGUUAUUGCUAUAUAACAAUCAAAGGUAAUUCUAUAAACCCUAAUUUAGUUUGUAAUUUGUUAGAUCUAAGUUUGUUAGUCUUGGAUUCAAAGCAUGUGCAAUAGAGAAACCUAGAUCCAAGCAUUAGGGUUUGUAUGAGCACAUAGGAUUGUUCUUAUGCAUAAAACCCAUCAGUGGUAUCAGAGCCUUGAUUGGUUUCAGUUGUAUNNNNNNNNNNNNNNNNNNNNNNNNNNNNNNNNNNNNNNNNNNNNNNNNNNNNNNNNNNNNNNNNNNNNNNNNNNNNNNNNNNNNNNNNNNNNNNNNNNNNNNNNNNNNNNNNNNNNNNNNNNNNNNNNNNNNNNNNNNNNNNNNNNNNNNNNNNNNNNNNNNNNNNNNNNNNNNNNNNNNNNNNNNNNNNNNNNNNNNNNNNNNNNNNNNNNNNNNNNNNNNNNNNNNNNNNNNNNNNNNNNNNNNNNNNNNNNNNNNNNNNNNNNNNNNNNNNNNNNNNNNNNNNNNNNNNNNNNNNNNNNNNNNNNNNNNNNNNNNNNNNNNNNNNNNNNNNNNNNNNNNNNNNNNNNNNNNNNNNNNNNNNNNNNNNNNNNNNNNNNNNNNNNNNNNNNNNNNNNNNNNNNNNNNNNNNNNNNNNNNNNNNNNNNNNNNNNNNNNNNNNNNNNNNNNNNNNNNNNNNNNNNNNNNNNNNNNNNNNNNNNNNNNNNNNNNNNNNNNNNNNNNNNNNNNNNNNNNNNNNNNNNNNNNNNNNNNNNNNNNNNNNNNNNNNNNNNNNNNNNNNNNNNNNNNNNNNNNNNNNNNNNNNNNNNNNNNNNNNNNNNNNNNNNNNNNNNNNNNNNNNNNNNNNNNNNNNNNNNNNNNNNNNNNNNNNNNNNNNNNNNNNNNNNNNNNNNNNNNNNNNNNNNNNNNNNNNNNNNNNNNNNNNNNNNNNNNNNNNNNNNNNNNNNNNNNNNNNNNNNNNNNNNNNNNNNNNNNNNNNNNNNNNNNNNNNNNNNNNNNNNNNNNNNNNNNNNNNNNNNNNNNNNNNNNNNNNNNNNNNNNNNNNNNNNNNNNNNNNNNNNNNNNNNNNNNNNNNNNNNNNNNNNNNNNNNNNNNNNNNNNNNNNNNNNNNNNNNNNNNNNNNNNNNNNNNNNNNNNNNNNNNNNNNNNNNNNNNNNNNNNNNNNNNNNNNNNNNNNNNNNNNNNNNNNNNNNNNNNNNNNNNNNNNNNNNNNNNNNNNNNNNNNNNNNNNNNNNNNNNNNNNNNNNNNNNNNNNNNNNNNNNNNNNNNNNNNNNNNNNNNNNNNNNNNNNNNNNNNNNNNNNNNNNNNNNNNNNNNNNNNNNNNNNNNNNNNNNNNNNNNNNNNNNNNNNNNNNNNNNNNNNNNNNNNNNNNNNNNNNNNNNNNNNNNNNNNNNNNNNNNNNNNNNNNNNNNNNNNNNNNNNNNNNNNNNNNNNNNNNNNNNNNNNNNNNNNNNNNNNNNNNNNNNNNNNNNNNNNNNNNNNNNNNNNNNNNNNNNNNNNNNNNNNNNNNNNNNNNNNNNNNNNNNNNNNNNNNNNNNNNNNNNNNNNNNNNNNNNNNNNNNNNNNNNNNNNNNNNNNNNNNNNNNNNNNNNNNNNNNNNNNNNNNNNNNNNNNNNNNNNNNNNNNNNNNNNNNNAAGAAGUGAGCUGAAUCUAAUCAUGAAGAAAUGGAUUUCGAUCGCAUUACUUGAAGAAUGGAUUCUUGAGCUACUACUUGGAGUUAGAAUAGAUUGUUAAGAAAUAUGCAAUAACAUAGUUUUUCAAUUAAAUUGCAUUGUAAGGACAAAAAUAUUCCGCAAUAAAAUGAAAUUUGAUUUUAUCUUAUUUAUUUAUCCUUGCAAUGGCAUGUAUGAAAAAUUGAUGUUUGAAUGUUUCUAUUAUUAGCAAUAAUGGAUUUGAUUCUUAAUUAUGUUAUUUGUGGAAAUGUCAAAAGUUUACCAAAUAGGGAGAGUUUCUCAUCGCCCAAGUUUCAAUUGGACAGAAACUUGGAAUCAUGCAAUGUGUAUUGUAUGAUGAAUGAAAAACUUUCACAUUUGGGAAACUUAGACUAAUUCUUUGACAAAGUGUCAAUUGAAGGACUAGGAGAUCAAGUACACUAGGUUGUGCGUUGAUCAAGUCCACCACAAGAGUGACAAAGAUAUUCGUCAUGAUUUACUAAAAGUUUAGUAAAUAUGAUUAUACUUAUAAGAUUAAGUGUAAUUCUGAGUUGAUUGAAAAAGUUUCAAUCAAUAGCAGAACGAAUAAGAAGAAUCAAGUAGGCAGAAAGAUAAAAGUUUCUCUAUUCUAAGAAGAAGGGAGAGUACCUUUUAUUGUGUUUUAUGAUAAGUCUUAAUGAUUAAGAACCAUAUCUCAAUUGAUCCUCUAAGUGAGUCUUAGUGCAAUUGCAUGUCUAAGAAGAGGAAUCGAGAAUUGUAGAAAUGGUUAAAUCAAGAAGUCAAUCAUACUUCGUUCCAAUAUCAAGUCUUAGAGUCAAGAUUGUGACAUUGAGUGAAAAGUCUUAAGUAGGUUUAUAACACUCAUCAAAUGUGGAAUUUGGAAAAGUUUUCUUAUUCUUGCACAUUUGAAAUUGGUAAGUUGUGCUGUCUUGGAUAAGACAAAGACCAACUAGGACCAAUUAUGUGAAGUGUUUUGUCUUGAUAAGAACUACACUAACUCUUGAAUAUUUGCUUUGUCAAGAAAUGUUUCUUGACAAGAGAAUCUUAUAUGUCAAGGAGUCAGUGGGAGUCUUAAUGGUCUUGAAAGGUUUCAAGAACAAAUCAAGAAUAUACCUUAUCGAUCAUCACUAGCACACGACUUGAGGUUUACAACCUAUCGUGCUGACAUUAUUUUGUUUUUGUGCCAUUCCAAUUGAGUUAAUUGUGUAUGUGAGUUCUAUGAGUUCUCAUUUGAAUGCAUACUAGAGCCUUAGUCGAUGGAAAGUACAUUGAUAUGUAAGGACAAGUUACUAAACUACUUGGAAGACAUGGUGGGCACUCGUGUUACCAUAAGGCAAGAAAUCAAGAUUAAGAAAGUUCAGUCCAUAUGAGUUUGGAUUUGUCGCAAACCUUGGUUUUGGCAAAUUCACAUGGAUAGGAACUCAUACACCAUAAAAUCUAAGUGUCAUAAGAUUCCCUCCUUCAUGAAAAUGACUGUGAGGAAAUGCUUUCACUAAGAGAGAUUUUAAGAAGAUAGCAAUUGUGAAAAUUGUAUUCUCAAAUUCGAUUAUGGUUACGGCAUCCCUUUCCAUAGUUCGAAUUGUGAGAUUUGGCAAUUAGUUUCAACAUUUGGAACUUAGUAACAUAAGUUCUGAAUUGUUUAAACACACAUAUGAGCUAUCUAAGACAAAUGUGUAUAAGGCUAAGAAGCCUAGAUAAAGGCUUAUCGAAGCAUCUGGUAUUAGAAAUAUGAAUUUCAGAAAUUCAAUAGGCAUUGUUUUCUGAAAGUUCAUUUGUUUUCUGAAUACAUGUCAAAGCUAGUGGGAGCAUAAGUGUUAUGCUUAUAUGAUAAUAAUCAUCAUGAUAGUGGGAGCAUAAGUGUUAUGCUUGUAUGAUUAUUAUGGCGAGUAUUGCAAGUUAGCAAUAUUAAUUAUAGAAAAACAAAGAUUCAAUUUGCAAAGUUGCAUGGGUUGAAAAGUUGUUUUGCUAUAAUUAAGGGAGAGAAUAUUAUACUUCGUUUCAAAAUCUAAAGCUUAGAUUGAGAAAUUUUAAUAUUUUCAGUCAAAGGAUACAUUGUGUGUUCUUAAAAUUCGAUUAUGAUUACGGCAUCCCUCUUCAUAGUUCGAAUUGUGAGAACAUGACACAUAAAAUAUUAUGGCAAAAGAUUGGUAAAGUAUCAUAUCUUUAUGUAAGACAUUAUGCAUCGUGUCCCAUACGCUUCGGGUAUAGGAUCGAUUGUAAAUGCUAUAGUAUUUUACCAUUCUAAAAUUUUCCAAAUGUCUAGCGCAUUAAGAGGGAAAAAGGAAUAGAAUUGGUUUUGACUGAAAGAAUUUAACAACUAUCAAAGGAUGAUCCAAAGUUCGCUGAGGAUUGAUCGCUUGUGAGUAGUUGAAAGUAUGGUAUUGGAUGGACCAUAUCGACAUUAUUAUGAAUAGAUAAGAUUCUAUUAAGAAUGAGUUGUCAUAUGGCAAAUGUGGAAAUGUUUCCAUAUUGGGAGUUGGAUAUUGAGAUUCUAUGCCUAGAUUAGAAACUUUUAUGCAAGAAGGAUGUUCAAAGGAAUGUACUUUGAAUGUGAGACUUCACAUCUAUGGAAUUGUCUUGUAACAAUUUCUAAGAAAGCACUUUGUAAUUUCAUUAGCCAAGUCUUGGUGACUUUUGUGCUAUGACUUUACGAAAGGAUCGUUGCGUAAAAUGUUAGAAUCUAGCAUAUUCUAGUAGUGGCAAGAACCUUGUGUUCCUACACUAAUAAUUAGGAUUAAGGAAUUGUGAAAUGAGCAUCAUUGGAAAAGUUUUCAGGUGAUCUAUUUCACAAAGCAUGGACCAUAGGAAACAAAGUGUGCAUGUUUAGAGCAUGGGACAAUUGUUGGUAUGAUUCAAGUAAUGAGUUGAUUAUCCGAAACAUUAAAUGAUAAAUAAUGAGUAAUCAAUAUGGUGGAUAAAUAGAAGGGUUUUAUUUACUCUCACAAGUUUGGGGCCAUAUAGGAUUAAGUAUUGUUGUCAUGUUUCAAUUUGCAUGUUUUGACUUCCAGAAUAACUAGGUUAUUCAAACAUCCACAGUUGGUCAUACGUUGGGAGUAGGUAUGAAUAAAGACUGUCAUGAAUCUGUCUGUAGAUUGUCUGAAGUGUUUAGACAUGGCACAAGUUUGCUGCAGAGUUCGUGAGUGCUUUGAUAAGAUUAAAGUAUUGGAUUAAACCCACGCUCACUUGGAUCACUUCACGGUUUUAUCACGAGUGAUUAGUGAGACGAUAAUAUUGUAUAUUCUUGAAACCGAGACGUGUGAGUUGUUAUUUGUUGGUCAGUUACACAUUGAUAAUAAGUAAACGCACCAGUAACUUGGUGUUAUAAAACUUAUUGUUGUGUGUGAUUCGAUCAGUAAAUGCAAGCGAGCAUUUGAGUCGAAGUUUAUCCAUUCCUUUUACCCAAAGUGGGAUAAAAGCGAUAUAUGUGGGCCUCUCGAUGAUUUAGUGAUGACAUCUAAGCGCUUGGCCAAGCCGGGACUAAGUUGAUGUGUUCAAUUGUAGUCUGUUAUCAGUCGUCAUGAAUCGGAAGUCGGGAAAAAGUAUAGAGAGAAUGAUUGAAAUUCAUGUCUUUUGUCUAUACGAUAUCUUGAGAAUGGAGGAAUAUAUAAUCCCUUAUCUAGAGGACACGCUAUCUGAUAAGAUCAGAGUUGACAGCGGCUUUUGAAAGCUACGAUUGCUGAUCAGGUUUUGAAGUCAUACGGAAAAUAGUUAUUAGACUUAUCCAAGUGGGAGACUGUUGGAUUAGUGUCUAAGUCCAUAACUAUUUUGGUAUGUACUUGACCCGAUUAUGAGCAUGGUCCUUUUGGGUUGCCUUCACCAUAGCAAUAUGUAGGAUGAUUUAAGGAGAGAAAGGUUUAAAUAUGAUUUAUUAAUAUAUUAUGAGAAUAAUAUAUUAAAGGAGAAAUCAUAUUGUUUAAUUAAUAUUAGUCAAGAAUUAAUUGUUAAUUAAUUUUGUGGCUAAAAGAGAUUAAUUAAACUUAGGGGACUGAAGUUGUAAUUAUAAGAUAAUUAUAAUUGGGCUAUGGAUCACCUAAUAAUAUAUAGGUUGGACGAAUUCUAUGGGAAGCCCAUUAGAAAUCGUCCAAGGGAUAUGUUUAAGGAGUCCAUGGGCUGCUUAGGGCCUAAGCAGUCAAAUUAGGGUUUCCUAGUUGUAAACCCUAAUAGCCUACAUGUAUAUAAAGGGCCCCUAUGCCCCAAAAACGUGGACAAGUCUUUCAUUAGGGUUUCCAUCCAUUUUUGGGCAGCCUCUCUUCUUCUCCUCUUCAUCCAAGUUGUAUAUGGUGUUUGUGACUCCAUUAGAGGUGCAGCACUUGAGGCACUAAGCUUUCUAAGGCCAAUCCAAGUAAGGAAUUGAUUGUUAUUGCUAUAUAACAAUCAAAGGUAAUUCUAUAAACCCUAAUUUAGUUUGUAAUUUGUUAGAUCUAAGUUUGUUAGUCUUGGAUUCAAAGCAUGUGCAAUAGAGAAACCUAGAUCCAAGCAUUAGGGUUUGUAUGAGCACAUAGGAUUGUUCUUAUGCCUAAAAUCCAUCACAUAUAACAUGUAAUCUCCUACCAGCAUACAGACAGACAAACCAACUACAUGUCACUAAGCAUAGCCACAUCCAAUCUACCAGGAUACCGAUGUAACCAACAAUACUAACACAUAGUCAUCCUUUCUACCAGAAUGGCAACUAACAUAUCACAACAGUAACUAUCUCAAAUAGCAAAUCAAAGGGCUGACUUUGGUGCCUUAGAACCUUGGGUAUAUCGAGGAUAACUCACCUUGCAAUUGCUGAACUGAAGAGAUGAGAUCAAAACUCCCGAUCAUUGCCACGAACACCACCGCCUAAAACUUCAUUGAAAUCAUAACCAUCAGAGCCCAAAUUACCAAAAUACCCCUUUGAAGUCAAAUCCUAACCCCCAUUAUUGCAUUUUGGAACCUUAGUGACCAGUUUAACAAGUUAAUCUUACCAAAUGGCUUAUAGCCCAAUGAUAUCAGAUGUUGUCUUUCCUCCUUGAAGUUGAGGAUUCAAGUCUCGUUGGAGAUAUAAGUGGAUUUAUGAGUAAUAGGAAUAGAAUAGAUUUGUCACUAAAAAAAAAUCAACUUCAAUCCAUACUUAAUCCAUAUAUAGCAACGAAGUUGGAUAUUUUAUGUUGUCUUCAUAAGGUUGCACCUAACACCUUUAAAUAAAUAAUCAUUAACCACUUUCUAGAAGAGUGUAUAAAUCAAGGCUCAUUUCAGUCUCCAAGAUAUAAGGUCUCUCCUUCUAAUAGGAAAUUAACGAUAUCAAACAAGACCAAUCAUUCAACCAUCUCCAAAUAGAAAAUAACAUAGCUACAACUAAGGUUCUAAAGCAGUUAUUGCGGUCCAAAUUUCAAUAGCGGUCACAUGCCGCUAUUUGAAAUUGCAGUUAUCGCGGUGGUAUAGCAGUGGUAUAGCGGUUUUUUAAUAUUAUGUAUAAUUUAUAUUAUAUAUCUAUACAAAAUUUAUAUAUUAGAUUAUUAGUACUAUAUGGAAUUAAUAUCAUAAAAAAUCAUAUAAAAACAUAACAUAAUCUAUAUAUAAUAUUCUAAUAUAGUUAUAUGGAAACUAAAUGUGUCAAAAUGUCAUUACAACUCAAGUCGUUCGUGGUUUCUAAGUACUGAAACAGAUGAGAAAGAGAAGUUGUCAUUUGUUGAUUUGUAGUUUGUAAUUAAUCAUGAUUAUUAUUUGGACUUAUUAAGACAAAAAGUGUAGUGGACUAAUUAAAAAAAAUAAAGAUUUAAUAUUGAAAUAACACACAAUUGUUUUAUUCUUUGUCAAAAUAACCCAAUAUGUAUAAAAUUGUAAAAGCGGGUGUAGCGUCGCUAUAGCGCUGAUGAGUUUCACGGUAAACAGCGGUCGAUAGCGCCGCUAAUAACGCCACCGCUAUUUGUAAACGCUAUUUCAAAAUAACGGUUCAGUAACACCGCAAAACGCUAUAGCUCCGCUAUAGCACGCUAUUGAUAGCACAAGUUCUGAAUAAUGAACAAUUAUAGUGUGACAACCUCACAAUGUUAAAUCUCAAGCUUUCUUAAGACGUGACAUUAGUGUUGAAGAUAUGAGGACCAUCAUGACAAACUUGUUAGAACUAUAACUACAACUUUAAAAAAAUAAUCUACUCCUCACACUACUAGAUAAAAGAAAUGAAGAACAAAUAAAUGGCUUCGAAAUACAUUACAACAAACCUCAUCUUUUAUUUUCUUUUUGUCUUUAUGUAUUUUGUUUUGCUUUUUUUUUUUUUUUGAGAAAAAAGAAAUCCAAAUGAGAUGAUAUAUUCUCGGAAUUUCUAAAAGAUUCUUUAAGAAAAAUCGGACCGGGGUUAUUCAAGCGCAGACCGUCGGAUUACGAAAAUAGAAGUGAAACAGCAAUACAGCAUUGGCCAUUGGUCACGCGCACCACACAGGAUCACGUGCUCUCACAAGAUCUCGAGACUAUCGUCAACGUGAUCUCUCUCGAACCAUCCUGACCCUUCGUCGCUUCUUCAUUCACAAACCCUUUCGAACUCUCUGGAAUCCCUAACUUUCUCCAUACUUUCACUUACCCGCUUCUUCAUAUAAAAUCCAUUCGAACUUAAUUCUACUUGUUGAUCUGAACCCAACUAUUUAUCUCUUCAAUUUGCUUGUUUUAGAAGGAAAAAUUUGUGCUUGAUCUUUUUUGAGUGAAAAUGGAUGAGGACUUUGAUAUUCCGGUAGCUGAUGAGAUGAAUGAUGAAUUUAUGGAUGAUAUUGAAGCUCCGGUGACGUUGAAAGUCGGAGAGGAGAAGGAAAUCGGUAAUCAAGGUUUGAAGAAGAAGCUGCUCAAGGAAGGUGAAGGUUGGGACACACCUGAAAGUGGGGAUGAAGUUGAAGGUAUUGUCGUUGAUUUACGUUUUCUAAUUGUACUGUUUUGUGUCUAAAUCGUAUGAUUGUAUUGAUCGCGACGUGGAUUUGAGUUUGUGACAGUUCAUUAUACUGGAACGUUGCUCGACGGGACUCAGUUUGAUUCAAGUCGUGAUAGGGGAACGCCAUUCAAGUUCACUCUUGGUCAAGGUGAGAUUUUUUUUCUCAAUGAUGAAACUGAUUACAUUCAUUCUUUACAUUCGUGCAUUCAUAUUGAUGUCAAACAUGCAUAGUGUGUAUUUACAACGUUCUUUCUGCAUCCAAAGUAACAUAGUGAUUUGUUCAUUGGUGCUUCUACUCCUGCUUGCUAUGAGUGUAUUAACACUCAUUCUACAGUAUCAUAACGUUACAUUAGGUUAUGGAUCGCAUAAUUAACAUUAUUUUCUUGUGUUAUGUGACAACAGGGCAAGUGAUCAAGGGAUGGGAUCUGGGUAUCAAGACCAUGAAGAAGGGUGAAAAUGCACUUUUCACAAUACCUGCUGAUCUGGCUUAUGGUGAAGCUGGUUCUCCUCCAACAAUCCCUCCCAGUGCUACUCUACAGUUUGAUGUACAACUGCUCUCAUGGGUUAGUGUAAAGGAUAUUUGCAAGGAUGGUGGGAUUUUCAAAAAGAUUGUAAAGGAAGGAGAGAAGUGGGAGAACCCCAAGGACCUCGAUGAAGUUUUAGGUACUUUAUUUAUAUCAACUUUUCAUGUUUAAGAUUCAAUUUCUGCAACUCUUUGUUCACUUCUAAACACGUCCUUUUUUUUGUGUGUAAAUGCAGUCAAUUACGAAGUCCAACUCGAGGAUGGGACUGUAGUUGCAAAAUCAGAUGGAGUGGAGUUCAAAGUAGAAGAUGGUAACUUUAGCACAUAUCUGUUUUCUCGAUUAGCUUUACAAUCUUUUUUGAUUGUUGCUUACAUAUAUGGUUUUGAUCAGGCCAUUUCUGCCCUGCUCUGGCUAAGGCUGUAAAAACAAUGAAGAAAGGGGAAAAAGUCAUACUUACAGUCAAACCAGAAUGUAAGUUUACUGUCAUCUUUGUAAAAACUCUUCGCCUCAACAGCUACAAAGGUCGAUUCACUUAUAAAUUUUCUUGUUGCAGAUGGAUUUGGAGAAAAAGGGAAACCUGAAGGCUCCAUUCCUGCAAAUGCUACACUACAAAUCACACUAGAACUUCUGUCAUGGAAGGUGGUCACAAAUGUUACAGAUGACAAGAAAGUCAUCAAGAAAAUCUUGAAAGAAGGAGAGGGGUAUGAACGCCCGAAUGAAGGAGCUGUUGUUCAGGGUCAGUUGGCUUAUUCGAUUUGAUUCUUUUCUUGAUUCUUUAAAGUUUUUAUAACAUUAUGUCUGAAAUCGCUUCUUGUUUUGAUAACGAACAGUGAAGCUGAUUGGUAAGCUACAAGAUGGUACAUUGUUCAUCAAGAAAGGUCAUGAUGAUUCUGAGCCUUUUGAGUUCAAGGCAGAUGAAGGUAUAUAAACCAUUGGAAAUUCUUUAUAUCUUUUAUUGUUUUAUGUUAUGUAAUCUUAUUUUCAUUAAUCCUCACUUUGGUAUUUGCAUAAACAGAGCAAGUGAUUGAUGGACUUGAUAAAGCUGUGAUGACAAUGAAGAAAGGAGAAGUAGCUCUUCUGACAAUUGCUCCAGAAUAUGCUUUUGGGUCUACUGAUUCAAAGCAAGAAUUAGCAGUGGUUCCCCCUAAUUCCACUGUCACAUAUGAAAUUGAGCUUGUUUCUUUUGUUAAGGUAAGCUGUGCAUAAAGUUUAGUUUUUUAUGAUCAUAUAUUUAAUGUCAACGUUUAUUUAUUUUCAUUUUCAGGACAAAGAAUCAUGGGACAUGACCACGACUCAAGAGAAGAUUGAGGCUGCUGGGAAAAAGAAGGAAGAAGGAAAUGCGUUCUUUAAAGCUGGUAAAUAUUUGAAAGCAGUAAAACGAUAUGAAAAGGUAAAGAUUCAGUUUAAAUAAAGCAGUGGUUUGUGUAAUUGUUUAUGACUAAAUCUGUGUUUUUUGUUUUUUUUUUUUUAACAUUUCCAGGCUGCUAAGUUUAUCGAGUAUGAUACUAAUUUUGAAGAAGAUGAGAAGAAACAAGCAAAAGCAUUGAAGAUUACUUGCAAUCUUAAUAAUGCAGCAUGCCAGUUGAAACUCAAGGAUUACAAACAGGCUGAAAAGCUUUGCACUAAGGUUAUAGAUACAAAUAGAUAAUCCUAUUCACACUUAUUGCUUUUUCUUUUUUCUUUUUUUAUUAAUUUUAUGAUGUUUUAAAAGGUUCUAACAAUGGUCUGGAAACAUGAUCUGUACAGGUUUUGGAACUUGAAAGUACAAAUGUAAAGGCUUUGUACAGAAGGGCUCAAGCUUACAUCAAUGUAGCUGAUCUGGAUCUUGCAGAGAUUGAUGUAAAAAAAGCCCUUGAAAUCGACCCUAAUAACAAGUAGGAAUCCUUUUUUUUUUUUUUUUGACAGUUGGUGAUUUAUUUGAAGCUUAUAGCAAGUGAUGAAUAUGGUUUUAAUGAUGAUAUGAUUAGGGAUGUGAAACAUGAAUAUAAAUUGCUCAAGGAGAAGAUAAAGGAAUACAAUAAGAAGGAUGCUAAAUUUUAUGGAAAUAUGUUUGCCAAGAUGACAAAACCCUCUUCCAAUGUGAGAGCUUUUUGAAAAUAUGUGUAUCUGUUUAUAAAAUAAAAAUCAUAAAAAAAAGGGGUGUAAUGAAUGGUGAUUUGAUUAUGAUUGUGUGCAGAAGGCAGCAGGGACAAAGGAGGCAGAAGAACCAAUGAGCGUAGACAGCAAGGCUUAAUCAUUUAAAAGAUAAAAGAUAAAAGAUGUGUUUAAUGUAAUGUUGUGCCAUAAUAGAGGGGUUUUCUGGUAUUUUUUUUCUUAAUUUUCUAGUGCUCUUAUUUGGUUUUAAUUCUUCAGAUAGUGUGUGUUUGUCUGGAAAAAAAAAGGUAAAAGUUAGUGUGACGACAGUUGAGUUUUAUUUACUUUCUUUUUAUCUUCACAUUUAUGUAGACAAACUGUAUUGGCAUAACAUAAUCUAUUAAAACUUUUAACUUUGUUUUUCUCUUUAAGUUAUUAUAUAAAACAAAACCAUAUGCUCAUUUUACAACCUGAGACAUACUCCCAGCAAGGAACGAAUCUAUAUGCCGGUAACAAUUAAGUUAAAAUGACAAAGAAAGUAAGAAACAAAUAAGAAUGCAUUGUGUACUCUGGACGAACAACAUAUGAAAAGCAAAAAAGCCUCUUUCCUUCACCUUGCUCCCUUUAUUGGUAUGGUUAUUGGAAUGUAGAAAACAAAAAAAAACUCCAAAAAAAUGGACCACAAAUUUGGAUGCAAAGCCUAAAUUCAGAGUAUGUGACCAUCGUCGUUAUUAUUUUGAAUUUUUUUUUAGAGAAAAUUGCAAAUUUAGCCAAAUAUACUAAUUACUUUGUGGAAAAUAGCAAAAAAAAACAUAAAUUACAAAAUUAGUCCUUAAAAUCGCAGAUGGAUUAAGUCCAUUUGCGAUUUUGUAUUUCCAUUUGCGAUUUUGUGUAUUUUAUACAUUUUUUAAAAGAGGUUUUAAACAAAUUUUCCAACGAAAUAACAACAAAAAUGAUAAUUUUUUGAAAAAAAUUAUAUAUAAUAAGUUUGUUUCGUAGUCAAACUCUAUUAAUUUCGUAGUUAAGAAAAACAUAAAAUUGCAGGUGAAAACGAGAGGAAAUCAUAAUUGGACUAUCUCCAUCUACGAUUUUAUGCUGGAAAAGGAGUAUACAGCGAAAAAAAAAUUAAAAAAUAAAAAACCACCUGUGAACGUACAAGUGGAUAAAGCACAGACGUGCUUUAGCCACUUAUACAUUCGCAGAUGGGAAGGCGGAAUCAUAGAUGACUUAUACCCAUCUGCGAUUUUAAUAGCUAAAAAUGCAAUUUUGAAUUUUUUUUUGGUUAUUUUCCACAAAGUAAUUAGUGUAUUUGGUUAAAUUUACAAUUUUUUCUUCUUUUUAUCUUAUCCUUCUUAAAUUUAGAUGUUUUCCCUAUGAAUCUUAAUCAUUCAAAUUAUUUUUUCAAACCUUAGUUUUUAUGGAGAUUUUCAUAAAAGUUUCUUUGAUUCUGAAUUGAAUGCCUAAUAUAUCUAAUUGUGAAACAUCAUAAAAUAUAUAUUUUUUUACUACGAAUCUUAAUUAUCCAAAUUGUGAAACAUCAUAGAGUUUGAAGAUUUUAAAACGCCAAGUAGAUAUGCUGAAAAAAGUGCAUUACGGAACGUGGUGUCAUGUUAGUGGAGAUUGUGGAACAAAUCAUAUAAAAAUUUCCACGUAAGCAAAAGUUUGUAAAAGGUAUGAUUGUCUAGCAAAAACUCAAGCAAGUCAAUGGGCAUACAAGACAACAUCUAAAAGAAAAUUGAAGACAAGUAUAAAAGAAAAUCGAGUGAAAUGAGUUUGAAAGAUGUCGAGAGCAAAGUAAAUUGUUAAACGAAUGAACGUAAAUAAGAAAAUUUGUUAGUCACGAAUUUAAAUGAACCAAUACCAAUAUCAAACAAUUUAAAUGACUCAAUGCCAAUUAAAAAACAGUUAUAACUAUUUCAGUCUUAUGAAAAAAAUCUUCAAAAACAAUAAACGAAUAGUAUAAUUAAAUUUUUACUUUUCAUAUUUUUUUUAUCACAUGUUUGAAAACGUUUGUACUUUUAAUAAAAGUUUAUAAUUUGAUAAGUUUUAUUUAAGCAUGUGUUUGACAAAAUAAUUGAAAAAUUAGUUUUUGUAUUAUUGAGAUAGCUAAAUAAAUAAUAAUGUUUGAUAAAAAUUCCUAUUUAAAGGAGAUAUAAAAUGACAGUUAAAUAUAUAACUAAACCUGAUGAUAAUUUAGAACAACUAAAAUCGAAAAACCAAGAAAAUUGAAAUAACGAAUCACUUAAAAAAAAUAAGAAAAUUUUAACAAAGGAAUGAAAACCAAAAACCAAGUUGUUUAAAAAAAAGAAACAAAACAAUGUGACUAAAAAUCAAAGCGUUUCAAGAAAACAAAAAAAAGAUCAAAAUUAGAGUAAAUGAAAAUUAUUGGUAAUGCUAGUAGUCAUAAAUAAUAAUAAUAAUUUUAGUUACGAUGAAGAAAGUUUCCCUCAAUGUUCUUUGACUUCUUUCCCAUUGGUCCCUCGGAAUCGAAAAGACGCAUCCCACAUCGGCUGCUACUGCAAACGAAACAGCAUAUAUAAAAGAAGCGGAGAGAAGAAGAAGCACGACCUUACUUGAACAGGAUCUGUUCUAUAGGCUCGUACCUCUGUAUUCUUGAUUCCUAAGAAGACAGAAACCCAUGUCUGGUUGAUGAACCACGACCAUGUAACCAGACCGUGAUUAACAGAGUUUCUUAUGGUCCCGACCACGGCUCAGUAGAUGAUCGUUGCCUGCUCAUCUGAUGAUGGGUCUUGGCAUGGCUACAUGGUUGUCUGACAGACAAUGCACUUUCUUUUUUGAUUACCAUUUUUGAGACGCAAAGCAACCGUUUGAUGAAAUGUCUGAAAGGCGCUCCUACUAAUUAUUGCUAGACAACUAAACUUUCUUAUGGGUUCUAUAAGUUGUGAUUUUACAUGGGAAAUGUCAAAACUCAGAGAUGCAAAUCAAGUGUUCGAUGAAUUGCCUGAAGGAGAUUAUGUUUCUUCUUUCUUGGGUCAGCUUAUGACUCAUCUUAAUUUGUUCUCCUAGCUCAACUGGACUGAGUGGCUUCUUAUUCGGUUCAGUCGAAAGAUUGCUUCUCAGAUUUCAGAAAUAAACCACUACAAAAUCUUGUUCAACAAGCGAACCUUAAGCUGAUGUUAGCUAAUAUGUAGAUGCAUAUAUUGAAGGAUGCAUGCCUGGUUGACAUUUUGAUGUAUUUAUAUAUAUGAUCACGUUGAUUGCUUAUACUUAAAUGGACCAAAGAAAUUU
rnacentral:lncRNA from 1 species